rnacentral:pre_miRNA from 1 species
CAUGUACUCCUUCCGUUCGGAAUUACUUGUCGCAGAAAUGGAUGUAUCUAGACAUAUUUUAGUUCUAGAUACAUCCAUUUCCAAGACAAGUAAUUCCGAACGGAGGGAGUAGUUU